rnacentral:lncRNA from 1 species
GUGGAACCCUAUGGGGGAGGUUAUAGGGUCACCCCAUAGGGAUGUCGUCUAUGGGGUCACAGCUGUGGUACCCUGUGGGGACAUGAUCUAUAGGGUCACCCCAUGGGGACGUCAUCUAUGGGGUCAUAGAUGUGGUACCCCAUGGGGACAUGAUAUAUAGGGUCACCCCAUAGGUAUGUCAUCUAUAGGGUCACCCCAUAGGGAUGUCAUCUAUAGGGUCACCCCAUGGGGAUGUCGUCUAUGGGGUCAUAGAUGUGGUACCCCAUGGGGACAUGAUCUAUAGGGUCACCCCAUGGUGAUGUCGUCUAUGGGGUCAUAGCUGAGGGAACCCCAUAGGGGACAGCUGCGG